rnacentral:rRNA from 1 species
UCAGAUUGAACGCUGGCGGCCCUUCUUACACAUGCAAGUCGAACGGCAGCACGGGUGCUUGCACCUGGUGGCGAGUGGCGAACGGGUGAGUAAUACAUCGGAACAUGUCCUGUAGUGGGGGAUAGCCCGGCGAAAGCCGGAUUAAUACCGCAUACGAUCUACGGAUGAAAGCGGGGGACCUUCGGGCCUCGCGCUAUAGGGUUGGCCGAUGGCUGAUUAGCUAGUUGGUGGGGUAAAGGCCUACCAAGGCGACGAUCAGUAGCUGGUCUGAGAGGACGACCAGCCACACUGGGACUGAGACACGGCCCAGACUCCUACGGGAGGCAGCAGUGGGGAAUUUUGGACAAUGGGCGAAAGCCUGAUCCAGCAAUGCCGCGUGUGUGAAGAAGGCCUUCGGGUUGUAAAGCACUUUUGUCCGGAAAGAAAUCCUUGGCUCUAAUACAGUCGGGGGAUGACGGUACCGGAAGAAUAAGCACCGGCUAACUACGUGCCAGCAGCCGCGGUAAUACGUAGGGUGCGAGCGUUAAUCGGAAUUACUGGGCGUAAAGCGUGCGCAGGCGGUUUGCUAAGACCGAUGUGAAAUCCCCGGGCUCAACCUGGGAACUGCAUUGGUGACUGGCAGGCUAGAGUAUGGCAGAGGGGGGUAGAAUUCCACGUGUAGGCAGUGAAAUGCGUAGAGAUGUGGAGGAAUACCGAUGGCGAAGGCAGCCCCCUGGGCCAAUACUGACGCUCAUGCACGAAAGCGUGGGAGCAAACAGGAUUAGAUACCCUGGUAGUCCACGCCUAAAACGAUGUCAACUAGUUGUUGGGGAUUCAUUUCCUUAGUAACGUAGCUAACGCGUGAAGUUGACCGCCUGGGGAGUACGGUCGCAAGAUUAAAACUCAAAGGAAUUGACGGGGGCCCGCACAAGCGGUGGAUGAUGUGGAUUAAUUCGAUGCAACGCGAAAAACCUUACCUACCCUUGACAUGGUCGGAAUCCUGCUGAGAGGUGGGAGUGCUCGAAAGAGAACCGGCGCACAGGUGCUGCAUGGCUGUCGUCAGCUCGUGUCGUGAGAUGUUGGGUUAAGUCCCGCAACGAGCGCAACCCUUGUCCUUAGUUGCUACGCAAGAGCACUCUAAGGAGACUGCCGGUGACAAACCGGAGGAAGGUGGGGAUGACGUCAAGUCCUCAUGGCCCUUAUGGGUAGGGCUUCACACGUCAUACAAUGGUCGGAACAGAGGGUUGCCAACCCGCGAGGGGGAGCUAAUCCCAGAAAACCGAUCGUAGUCCGGAUUGCACUCUGCAACUCGAGUGCAUGAAGCUGGAAUCGCUAGUAAUCGCGGAUCAGCGUGCCGCGGUGAAUACGUUCCCGGGUCUUGUACACACCGCCCGUCACACCAUGGGAGUGGGUUUUACCAGAAGUGGCUAGUCUAACCGCAAGGAGGACGGUCACCACGGUAGGAUUCAUGACUGGGGUGAAGUCGUAACAAGGUAA